rnacentral:rRNA from 1 species
UACAGGGGGGUGCAAACGUUGCUCGGAAUCAUUGGGCGUAAAGCGCACGUAGGCGGUUCGUUAUGUCGGAUGUGAAAGCCCUUGGCUUAACCGGAGGAAGUGCAUCCGAAACUGGCGAGCUAGAGUACUAAAGAGGAUCGCGGAAUUCCCGGUGUAGAGGUGAAAAUUCGUAGAUAUCGGGAGGAACACCAGUGGCGAAGGCGGCUCACUGGCCCGGUACUGACGCUGAGGUGCGAAAGCGUGGGGAGCAAACAGGG